rfam:Serratia fonticola strain DSM 4576, complete genome.
CCUCGUAGUCUCUGCCAACGCAGAGGCUGCGGGGACUUCUUUCCGUCCGCAACGAGGGUCUGCUCGUG